GCACAAGCGGUGGAGCAUGUGGUUUAAUUCGACGCAACGCGAAGAACCUUUACCAGGGCUUGACAUCCUCUGACCGCGUAUGAAAGUACGUUUUCUGGCUUCGGUCAGACAGAGAGACAGGUGGUGCAUGGUUGUCGUCAGCUCGUGUCGUGAGAUGUUGGGUUAAGUCCCGCAACGAGCGCAACCCCUACGUUUAGUUGCUAACGUGUAACGAUGAGCACUCUAGGCGGACUGCCGUUGACAAAACGGAGGAAGGUGGGGAUGACGUCAAAUCAUCAUGCCCCUUAUGUUCUGGGCUACACACGUGCUACAAUGGCCGGUACAAAGGGACGCAAAGCCGCGAGGUGGAGCAAAUCCGAUAAAAGCCGGUCUCAGUUCGGAUUGCAGGCUGAAAUUCGCCUGCAUGAAGUCGGAAUCGCUAGUAAUCGCAGGUCAGCAUACUGCGGUGAAUACGUUCCCGGGCCUU
rnacentral:rRNA from 1 species